CUCAAAAGAAGAUGUGCAAAAAUUAAGGUGCAAAGGUCUGCUCAAAGCCCUAUUCUUGAGUUUCCAGCUAAUGAGGCUACAUCAAAGCAAGCUGAGCUGCUGGAUACUAACUCAACUUUUCUGGAGCAUCUACUGAGUGAUUUGGUAUUGUCUGAAAAUUGAAAGCAACUCAUGGCUCUCAGAAAUUAACAAAUCUCAAUUUGGC
rnacentral:lncRNA from 1 species